AAAAUGUGGAUAUUGCAAUGGUUUGUCUUUCGCCGAGGUUGCGUCUGCAAUCCUUCCGAAUCCUUUCCUGCUGAUGCCAAUGGGAACGAUCAAGGUUAUGUUGAGUCAUGGAUACAAAAGCUUCCGCGCCUGUGUGAACUGUGUGAGUAUGUGUUUUUAGUAUUGAGGCGUGUAUGGCGUUAGGUUGUCGUCGGUGAUAGUAGUAGUUGCCGGCUGUAGAUGUCGCUGCUGGAACGCUGCUAAUUAUUCUUUUAUUU
rnacentral:misc_RNA from 1 species